rnacentral:rRNA from 1 species
UACGAAGGGGGCUAGCGUUGCUCGGAAUGACUGGGCGUAAAGGGCGCGUAGGCGGAUGGCACAGUCAGAUGUGAAAUUCCCGGCUUAACCUGGGGCUGCAUUUGAUACGUGUUGUCUAGAGUGAGGAAGAGGGUUGUGGAAUUCCCAGUGUAGAGGUGAAAUUCGUAGAUAUUGGGAAGAACACCGGUGGCGAAGGCGGCAACCUGGUCCUUGACUGACGCUGAGGCGCGAAAGCGUGGGGAGCAAACAGG